GACGAACCACACAAACGUUAUUCGGAAUUACUGGGCUUAAAGGGUGCGUAGGCUGUGCAGAAAGUUAGGUGUGAAAUCCCCCGGCUCGACCGGGGAAUUGCGCUUAAAACUACUGUGCUAGAGGAAGACAGAGGUGAGCGGAACUUCGGGUGGAGCGGUGAAAUGCGUUGAUAUCCGAAGGAACACCGGUGGCGAAAGCGGCUCACUGGGUCUUUUCUGACGCUGAUGCACGAAAGCUAGGGGAGCAAACGGG
rnacentral:rRNA from 1 species